rnacentral:lncRNA from 10 species
CCCACCCCCUCGACACUGCUGCAGUGGGGAUGAAGUUUCCAGCACGUACCUUUGGAGGACUUAUUCAACCAUGACCCUUGCUUCUCAUUCAUGGAGGAAGAGGAGUGAAGAAUCCAAGUGGCAGACUUGGGAGCUCUAGCCCAUCCUUUUCCCGUCCUCUUAUUUUUGGGGGUCGGCCUGCCUGCUUAGCACUAGCCAAGGAGGAAACUUUAGAGGAAUUCAUCUUCAAUUCAUGUGACUGAUAAACUGUUGAGUCACCACCAAUCAUGUAAACUCAAGUUGGCCCUGAAUUUGUUAAUUUCAUGAAUUCAAACCAAGGCUUUGGAUUUCAGACUAAAAUUAUG